CGUUCUCUCCGGGUGUGUAAAAGGGUCGGGCCCCGGGACCGGCGUCAUGAGCGGGGCUGAGGGGCUGUCUUUGGCUGUGGGGCAGAAACCGUGCGGAAAACAGGUUGGCGCUGAACCGGUUGUAUU